rnacentral:rRNA from 1 species
CCCCACCCCGUCGCUCCAGAUGCCGCCUCUCUCUCCGAUCCAGAGAAAAACCUUCUCCGGCUCCCCCCUCCUCGUCCGCCCCGCGGUCGCGGCCCUUGCCGUCGGCGGUAGGAGCCAGUCCCAUCGAUAAACUUUCCACUCCUCCCUCUUAUCUCCACCACUCUAGAUCACGUUCGUCCAUUGGCAAGCUUGGUGGCGGCGCAGAAGGAGAGCUCCUACGCACCACCGGUUCUUUACAGCCUAUGUGAACUGCAGCAGCACCAGGUCGACGCUGUCGUUGGUGUACGACGCCUUUGUCUGCGUUGCCGGGGGUGGUCGUACUACAGGCUGUCCAACGGUACGUCGGUGCCGGAGGACGUACUGGGCCUGGGAGUGGUGUGCAGGUGCUGCUCGAUUUUGGUUGUUCCGUAUGCUGGCCGCCGGGAACGCCGUCAGGGCGGGGUUCUAGGUGCGACGGAAGGCCGACGCCAGGUGGUGCGGCGAGUGCUAGGCCUCCGGAGGGCGCUGCGGGUAUGACACGGGGGCGUCGGAUGAUCACACAUGCUUCUGCUUCGGCGGUCAGGCUAGCGGGUCGUGUUCUACUUCUUCGUCAAGUUCAGUUACCCAAUAGUUGAUCUGAGAGGUAAUUGGUUGGUCAGUGAUGUUUGAUUAAUCUAAGCAACCUUGAGAUGUGCGAUGGGCGAACGUGAGCGGCGGCCAACGGCAGACAUGGACUCAAGCCAACACAGGUACACGGCGGAGCAACUCACCUGCUGGUCUCCACUUCGCAGGUGGCAAGCAGGCAACAGCUGCCACCAAGGUAUGUGCUUUUUUUAUUCCUUUUCAGAUCCAUUUUGUUCACACGGGCCUCAAAAAAAAUUGGGGAUCAACAAAUUGAUCGCUCGGAGUAAUGAGCAUACAUAUUCUUUCUUAUGUUUUAUUGUCAGCACAUGGAAUUUUUGGUGGUCAACCCAUCAGCCAAUGCCCUCAUGAUCUGCGCUUGGUGUACUUACACUUUUUUUGGGACUAAGGCAGUAGUGCGGCUUUAAUGAGAAGAUUUACAGAAUCUGGUGGUGCUUACAUUUUGAUCUAUGCAUCUUUUCCCAGAUUUGAAUAACUGUGAGUUUGUGACCAUCGCCCUUGGCAUCUUUUAUGAUGUAUUUUUUGUGUGUUAGGUCAAGCAGUUCCUGUGAAAUGACUUUGGGAAUGGGGUGGUUCACUGGGGUAAUUAGCGGUACCACCACAUGCUGACAUGGAUUGUACGAGAUUGUUUCUAGGUGGCUGCUGAUGAAUCAUGUGAGGAUGGCGUAGAACUCACCAGAGGGAAAAUAACAAACUGUGGGAACCAAAUCAAACAACUGAGAAGGUAAAAUUAGGGAAGGAUUAGCGGUCCAGUGUUUCAGUAAUUUCUGGAGUGGUUGAAUUGGUCGAACAAACUUCAUAUCAAACUACCUCAGCUAAUCCCCCCAUGUAUACUGAUGUAAAUGCAUGUUUAAGGCGAACAAUUUAUCAGGUGUGGGGUUGUGAUGGUUCUGGUGGGUGGCUGCAGCUAUGAGGCCGAGCUAAUCGAGUUGUCUAUGCACGACAAUAUUUUACACGUCAUAAGUCCUUGUGAUGAGGGUCUAUAGUACAUAGGUUGGGCAGGUCCCGAUGGAUUGAAAAGGUUCUUCGCUCAACUGGAUUGUAGGUUGCUUUCCGUGCUCUCGUAGCCUUGUCUGCUGAGUACUUUUCGUCUGCUGCUCUACUUACCAAGGUUUGUGCUUGCCCACCCGAAUACCCUAUUACUCCCAAUCUUUCUGUUUCAGUUUUGCUUCUUGAUUUAUUUUCCUGCUUGCAUAUAUAUCAUCUAUCUCACUUCAGUUUCAGGUUCUCUGGCUGCUACACUGAACAUGUGUAUUUCACACUACUCACUCUUUGUUGUGCCUACUUCAGUUUUGCAUGUUUAAAUAUUUGUGGUUUGGUCAUGUGUAUCACAUAUCUUUCAGCAUUUGAGUUUCACAGUUUUCAAUGUUUUGUUGGCCACGUGUAUCACUAAUGACACUUAUGCAAGUGCUUAUUUUGAUUUUAUUUUUUGGUAUGUUUUACUGGUGACAUAUAUUUCACAUAUCUCACUUAGUUCAGUGCCUGCCACAUAAUUACUACUCCCUCCGUCCCAUAAUAUAAGAGCGUUUUUGACACUAGUGUAGUGUAAAAAACGCUCUUAUAUUAUGGGACGGAGGGAGUAUUUGUGAUUUUGGUAUGUACUAGCUUUGAUUUGGCUGGUUUCAAGUGAGGAACAUGAGUGGGCUGAUGUAUUAGGCAUGCCCAUGGGAAGGCAGUGUUUUCUAUGGUAGAAUUAGUAUGGUGAUAUACUGCACAUACUCAAGCCAUAAAUGCUUCCACGAUAGUGUGGCAUAUUCUCUGACUUCAUUCCUGUGUGUUCUGGAAGAGGAAAAACAAUUAUGUUUGUCUCCCGCCGUGUUCUGGAAGAGGAAUAAGUAUUCCAACACUGAUAGCUCAGUUAGUGUGAUAUGGAGAUGGUUUAUUCCAUGGAAGAGUAGUCACCACUUUUUGUGAAGAUAAUUCCCGAGACUCAAGACAUUGGUCAUGUUAAAGCUUUAGGUGCUUGGAGAUUAUUUGCUGACAAAUCUACUAUUGUUUCCUUCUAACUAUCUGCUGCCAUUUCUCAUUAUAUCGUUCUAAUAUAUCUACCAAAAAGGAUUUGAGAAUGCUUGCUUAUUUAUUAAGAAUUUCCUCUUUCUUUGACUGGAGCUUUUUUAGUUCAUGGUUGAUGUCAAUUUCAUACUAUUAGGUGGUUGUCGAUAGUGUAUGUUAAGAUGGAAACAUUUUGCCACCAGGUAGCGUGAUGGCGUAGUCAAUUUUCUAUCUGAUUAUGAUCUUAUUUUACAGGGUUAUAGUGCAAAUAAACCAUACAACCAAAUGAUUGUUCCAAAAAUUCAAAUUUGCCUUUGCACAUGUACAGGAGCAUCAUGGAUUGUUUAGUCUUGGAGUUCCAAAAAAAUGGUUAACCUGUGUACUACAGAGGUAAUGGAACACCUACUUUCACCUAUAUGGGUUUAAUGAUAGAUAACUAUUACAAUAGAUGGAGCACCUACUUUCAACUAUAUGGGUUUAAUUAUAGAUAACUGUUACAAUAGUUUUGCCAUGUUUGACAUUGCAUAAAUAUGCUUGGAAUAUCAUAUAUCAGGUAAACCUUGAAAACAAGAGAAAUGGUGGUAUUCUCUACACUAGGUUUCAAUUUACUGAAAAAUGCACUCUUCAUUUACUGAGUUUUAUGUUUGCUCUUGCUAUCUGCCAGCUCCAUGAUACAACGGUUUGGAAAAAAUUAUCGAAUCACGAUGAUGUGUGAUGAGUAGCAAGGUGAUGAUCCAUAAAGCCCUACGAUGUUCUUUUGCUCACCAGUGAGUUUACUACUUUCUGGUUGCAUGUCCAGUCGCCGAGCCGACAUUUUUUUGCAAAUUGAUGUAGGAUUAGUUGCUGCAUUGCUUAGCUGGGCUCUGGAGCAGCGAGUAACUUAGCUGAUGCGACAAUAGCUUCUUGAUGUGUAAUGCAUAUAAUAUUCUUGCUAUAGUCUGGUCUGAGCUCAAUGUUUUGCAAAAUUCCAUGCAAAUGCAACAAAAGAUCUAGCUUUCUUAUAUUUGGUACUAUGCUUUAGUUACAAUGAUGCACAAAUGGAUUUGAGGACUAAAUGGAAACAUUGGAAGGAAGACAUAAUUAAAUGUACAUGCACUCUCUGUUCUUACAAAUCUAGCCUUGAUUUGAUACUGAUCUUUCAUCACUUCAUGCUAAUAUUUUGGGUAUAACAAUACAUAUAUACCCAUUCAGUGAUUUGGUUCCUCUUUACUGAACUUUUAUUCUUUCCUGCUCAUCUAUAUAGGUUAUGUUAUAAUUUGUACUCCCUCCGUUCCUAAAUAUAUGUCUUUGCCAGUUUUUUUCUUUUAUAGAAGGAAAAAUUUGGAUUUAAGCUACAAAUUGGCAAAGAUUAUUAUAAAUUAUAUGCACAUAUGUACAAAUACAUCGAUCCAUGGUGUAUGGUGAUCAAGAACAUAUACAAUCUUGGAAGUUAGUGCUAAUAUAUCUUGAUCAAAGAUAAAACAGUACGUGCUAUGAACAUGUUCUUGUGUUAAAUCUUAGUUGCAGUUCUCAGUAAUCAGCUAAUUUUAGUUUGUGAAAAGGUUUGAUUCAAAAAGAGACGUGUUUGAGAUUAAUUUAUUUGAAGGCACGAUUUGGAUUUAAGCUACAAAUUGGCAAAGAUUAUUAUAAAUUAUGCACAUAAAUAUACAAAUGCAUCGGUCCAUGGUGUAUGGUGAUCGAGAACAUAUACAAUCUUGGAAGUUAGUGCUAAUAUGUAUUGAUGAAAUAAUAACCAUCACCCAGAACAAUGUGAGCAUGUCAGGCUGUGUGUAUUUAGUAGGACGAAAAUAACCAGGCAGCUGUGAUCACUCGACUGAAUAUAGGAUAAAGGUAACCAGGCUGCUGCGAUCACUCGCCUGUGGCCAUCUCUUUCAAAAUAAAGUUUUCGACACCUGGAUGAGUUCACUAAUAUGGAAGACAUUUGUACUUUCGCCAUUGACAGCCCACUGAGCACACCUAUCAUGAAGAACUGCUUGGACGAUGAGGUGAUUUUCACUGACCAAACAUACAACGAUGACUCUACCUAAUGUCAAUGACUUGAUGUUUUGGUCCUAUCUACCGGCAGAAGAUAAAAAAAUCAACCACAAACUGGAAGACCAUGACUACCAUAUAGCUACUACAACUUGCUUUUUAAGACCAAUGUAAAUAAGCUGUGUGCAUAACUUUUUUGGGGGCUAUCAUGCUAUCCGCACUGCAAUAUAAACAACUAUGUUUGAAGAUACUAUCUAAGUAUCUAUUUCCUUAUGCUAAAGAGAUUUUAAUACAGUCUUCAGAUCACUCUGACCUGCAUGCUUUCAAUAUUUGGUUUGAUCUCGCUUUUUGCGCCAUGGGCGAACCGACUAUCUAAACAAUGGUUCAUUUGCAACCAUUCAGUUUUAUCCAUCUGAGCACUAACUAAACAAUGGAUUUUCAAAAAAUCAAUAUCCAUCUAUGUCUAUUAGGGGAUGGACGAUGAUAUGGAAGGCAUUUCAGCUUUUGGCAAUGGUAGCCCACUCAACACACCCACCAUGAAGAGCUGCUUAGACGAUGAAGUUAUUCUUAAUACAGAUGGCACAUGCAGCGAUGACUCUACACGAUGUUCAUCACCGCGUAUGGUCCUCACCAUAAGCUACAUGCAGAAAUUGCUCUACCCGAUGUUCUUCACCGUGUAUGUUUCUCACCAUAAGCUAAAUGACCAGAACAUCUAUAUGAUGUAUCUCUGCCUAUGAAUCCCAACAAAAGUAUUGGUCGAUGCUAUGAUGCAGUAGUUAGGCCUCCCAGAUGCAGCGUACUCAACAUAGAAGGCAAGAGCAAUUGGUCUUGACGCAACCAUUCACUUAUAUCCCUCCAAGCAUCAACUGGACAACAAUUUUCCAAGACAAUCAAUAUCAAUCCAUGUAUCCAACAAACUAGAAGAUGCUGAAGACCAACUAGCAAACAAAGCUCUCAAGUACAUGAAAAGCAUCCACAGUAAAGUGCUCCAGGACAUAAACUACGACAUGAUGCAGCUGCUCCAGCAGAAGUGUGAAGCUCUGGAGCAUCAACAGAAAGAAAAGGACAACCUAAUAGACUAUUUUAGCAAUAGCUGGUGCCAUAGUCUUGGUAGAGAUCACAUGGCAGCAAAGGAACUUUACCGUAAAUAGAUAGCAACUUCACAGCUGGAUCAACAUCCAAAGACAAUGAUCUGAAUCAUAUUGUCGCAAGUAAGAUAUGUUGCUGAUUGUCUCAUUGAUACUACCACACAUUCAGAGUAUGGACUUCAACAGACAAACAAGUACUACUAGAGCCUGGAUGAUGAUGUUGAAGGAAUUUUUACUAUGAACAAUAAAAAUAUUCAACCACAACCACUAUGAACAAUUGCUGGAACAAGUUUUCAGCGCCGAUGAUCCACCAAGCACACUGACUAAUGUUCAUCACUUCGUAACGCCUAUAAGAUGUAUCUCUCCCUAUCUACCUUCCUUUCUAAUAAAAUUGUAAUAUUCUAUCGUAAGCUUCUUAGAACACUAUGUAUCAUGAAUAAUCCAUGUGUUCCAAUCUGC